rnacentral:rRNA from 1 species
GGGACACGUGGUAUCCUGUCUGAAUAUGGGGGGACCAUCCUCCAAGGCUAAAUACUCCUGACUGACCGAUAGUGAACCAGUACCGUGAGGGAAAGGCGAAAAGAACCCCGGCGAGGGGAGUGAAAAAGAACCUGAAACCGUGUACGUACAAGCAGUGGGAGCCUCUUAAUGGGGUGACUGCGUACCUUUUGUAUAAUGGGUCAGCGACUUAUAUUCUGUAGCAAGGUUAACCGAAUAGGGGAGCCGAAGGGAAACCGAGU